GCGGAAGGAUCAUUAGAAAUAUCUGGGAUGCUCAAUAUGAGUUCCCAACAAAACACAUUCAUGCGUAUUCUUCCGUGUGUUUCCCCAGACCAAUGGCCAGUACGUACCAUCUUGGCCCAUAACAGGGUAUCCAGCUGGUGUACAGCCGCGUGUGUCUGGGAAGGCCCAAAUUGGCAAAACUUUAUGUUAACUUACUGUCUGACAAGGCCAUGUGCCCCUGUAUUUUAAAUAUUUUAAAACUUUCAACAACGGAUCUCUUGGCUCUCGCAUCGAUGAAGAACGCAGCGAAAUGCGAUAAGUAAUGUGAAUUGCAGAAUUCAGUGAAUCAUCGAAUCUUUGAACGCACAUUGCGCCCUUUGGUAUUCCUUAGGGCAUGCCUGUUCGAGCGUCACUAAAAACCCCAUCACAUUAUGUGUGGUAUUGGCAGAAGUGGGUACUCCCACCCUGCUGGAAUCAAUAGGCUGGAAAAGUAGAUCGUAGCAACAGACUUUCAGAGUGUUUUGAAAUGCUAAAUUAGUUUGAAGCUGGUCGGAACCCCAGGCCAUUUGACCCCCAUUCUGCACAAAGCAGUAAGGUUGACCUCGGAUCAGGUAGGGAUACCCGCUGAACUUAAGCAUAUCAA
rnacentral:rRNA from 1 species